UCAAUUUGUUCAAGUAACAUUUAAAAUCAAUCUGUGUAAAAGGGCUGCCUACAUCAGAUCAUCCAUUGGUAUAAAGGGAAUAUUCCCAUGGAAAUUAAGACAUUAUUGUGACCAGUAACAAUUGCAGCAUUGAGCUAUUUGCGUUGAUUCUUCUUUGGCAUUCAAUUCAUUGCAUUUUAUCUCAAAGCAUAUAUGAAGCUUUAUAUGCUGGAUCUUUUAGAACGGAAACUCUUUCGACACAAAUCAAAUUGAGCAUUGUCAAAGGCUAGGGAGUCAAUUGUGGACCAAAUUCAUUUUCCAAAAAUAGUUCAGAUGUAGCCGUAUCAACAGUUGUGUGCCUGAAUUUGAUUGGCUGUUGUCAGAUGAGCUUUAUGGCUCGGCACAGUUUUUGGUGAAACUGGCACAGUGUGCAAUCAAUUAGAUCCAGCGCUGAUUCCAGGACUGCAUAUUUUGGCAAUAACUCUUUUAGACAUGGCCAUGUGGCACAGCAGGGGGGCUCUGAAAUCUUGUUUGAUCUCUGCACAGUGAAGCUUGUUGAAAAUCCUUUAUAGAACUGAGAGAUGGUGACGUGGUUACAACUGGAACCAUGCACACAUCAGUUGUGGUUGGAUCAAACAGCAAUGGAAAUAAUCUGUACUUUCAUUUUAACUAACUCAUAUAUUCUCUGACAGACUACUUAUUCUAGUGAAAAAAAACCCUCUUGAUGACAUCCCCUGUGCACACUUCGUCUGACAUUUGGUAGCUCUUACUAGUGGUUACGGGCAUGGCAAAAAAAACAAAAACGAAACGUGCUCUGAUUUAAACUGGCUCCUGUGUGAGUGUGCAUGGCUGCUGUUUGCCACAUUUGAUAUUGCAUUCCUGCAAGAGCCAAGAGGUUGGAUGUGGCAUGUUAAAGUGUUCCAUGAACAUAAUCGCUGUAACAAUCAGAAUUGACUUGCAGUUCUCUGCAUCACAGCUUUGUUGUAGGUUUGUCAACAACUGCUGCUUUGCCUCCACGUGGCAGUUUUUGAAUAAAAAUCUGAAAGUAGA